rnacentral:tRNA from 2 species
GCUGAUGUGGCUCAGGGGUAGAGCAGCGCACUCGUAAUGCGCAGAUCGUGGGUUCAAAUCCCAUCAUCAGCU